UAGGAAUUUUGCGCAAUGGGCGAAAGCCUGACGCAGCAACGCCGCGUGAGGGAAGACGGCUUUCGGGUUGUAAACCUCUUUUAGCAAGGACGAACACAAUGACGGUACUUGCAGAAAAAGCACCGGCUAACUACGUGCCAGCAGCCGCGGUAAUACGUAGGGUGCAAGCGUUAUUCGGAUUUAUUGGGCGUAAAGCGCAUGCAGGCGGUCAGGUUAGUCUGAUGUGAAAGCCCUCGACUCAAUCGAGGAAGUGCAUUGGAUACUGCCAGACUAGAGUGCAGGAGGGGUGAGCGGAAUUCCAGGUGUAGAGGUGAAAUUCGUAGAUAUCUGGAGGAACAACAGCGGCGAAGGCGGCUCACUGGACUGUAACUGACGCUCAGAUGCGAUAGCGUGGGGAGCAAAC
rnacentral:rRNA from 1 species